rnacentral:rRNA from 1 species
GAUGAACGCUGGCGGCGUGCCUAAUACAUGCAAGUCGAGCGAACGGACGAGAAACUUGCUUCUCUGAUGUUAGCGGCGGACGGGUGAGUAAAACGUGGAUACCCCACCUAUAAGACUGGGAUAACUUCGGGAAACCGUAGCUAAAAUCGGAUAAUAUUUUGAACCGCAUGGUUCAAAAGUGAAAGACGGUCUUGCUGAUACGUAUAGAAGGAUCCGCGCUGCAUUAGCUAGUUGGUAAGGUAACGGCUUACCAAGGCAACGAUGCAUAGCCGAGCUGAGAGGGUGAUCGGCCACACAGGAACUGAGACGCGGUCCAGACUCCUACGGGACGCAGCGGUAGGGAAUCUUCCGCAAUGGGCGAGGGCCUGACGUGGCAACGCCGCGUGAGUGAUGAAGGUCUUCUGAUCGUAAAACUCUGUUAUUAGGGAACAACAUAUGUGUAAGUAACUGUGCACAUCUUGACGGUACCUAAUCAGUAAGCCUCGGCUAACUACGUG